UACGUAGGGGGCGAGCGUUGUCCGAAGUUACUGGGCGUAAAGCGCACGUAGGCGGCAUUGUAAGUUACAUUUGAAAUUUGACGGCUCAACCGUUAAAAGUGGUGUAAUACUGCAAAGCUUGAGGCAAUCAGAAGAAUGUGGAACUCCGAGUGUAGCGGUGGAAUGCGUAGAGAUUCGGAAGAACACCCAUGGCGAAGGCAGCAUUCUGGGAUUGUCCUGACGCUGAGGAGCGAAAGCCAGGGGAGCGAACGGG
rnacentral:rRNA from 1 species